rnacentral:rRNA from 1 species
GAUGAACGCUAGCUACAGGCUUAACACAUGCAAGUCGUGGGGCAUCAUGAUGUAGUAAUACAUUGAUGGCGACCGGCGCACGGGUGAGUAACGCGUAUCCAACCUACCCUCCACUCAAGUAUAGGCUUCCGAAAGGGAGAUUAAUCCUUGAUAUCGUCAUUCUCUCUCCUGUUAGAAUGAUAAAAGGACAUCGUUUCGGUAGAGGAUGGGGAUGCGUUCCAUUAGGUAGUAGGUGGUUUAACAGGCCACCUAGCCGAUGAUGGAUAGGGGUUCUGAGAGGAAUAUCCCCCACACUGGUACUGAGAUACGGACCAGACUCCUACGGGAGGCAGCAGUGAGGAAUAUUGGUCAAUGGGCGCAAGCCUGAACCAGCCAUGUAGCGUGAAGGAUGACGGUUUUUUUGAUUGUAAACUUCUUUUCUGUGCGAUUAAAGUGUGGCAUUUAUGCCAUAUUGCAGUAUCUCAGG